rnacentral:lncRNA from 13 species
GCACAAAAUGGUCUAGAUUUAAAGCUUAAGUAUAGCAAUUUAAUUUGAAGUUUCUCUGUAUUUUCUCAAGGAUGCUUGAGGACAGAAUGUCACCUGAAUGAGCUACUCCCUACACUAACCAGAAGGUGACUGGACAAUUUACAUCUGUAUACUUACUGAAAGGAAGGCUGAAGAAUCAUUUUUAUUGCUUCCCUGGCUCUGGUCUUUGGAAAGAGAAGGAUCUUGUCUGGACAUUGUGCUAUCUACUCCCAAACAUGUGGUCUGAGUUGGGAAAACCCUGCAUGCUUGUGACCUCCUGGAUCAGCCCAGCAAACUGGAACAGAAAAAGAAUUUAGAAGCCCCAGUUUCAUUCCCCUUUUCUGUCUGAAGUAAGCUGAACCUACAUCUGAUUCUCUGAGUGGCCUGAGCAGUGUACUACUGUCUUUCUUGUGCCUAGGCUAAAUACUUUAUUUAAAAAAAACCAGAAUAGAACUAAACCUGAGCAUCAAGAAUAUCUCUCUGUCCUCAAAUAGCCAACAGCCUUGUGUCAGUGCUUUAAGGAAGGUGCAAGAUCCAGGGUUCAGUCAAGAAGCAAAUGAGGGCUUUUAAGGCAGGUUAUGAGUUCCAAGGAUGAAGACUUCGUAAAGCCCUCAACUUUGUUUUAACCCCUCCCUACAGCUGAAGUCUUCUGUCAUCUCAACAUUAAUUUCUGUCAACAUGUGGGGAAUUUGGCUGAGAAAUUUUCCUAUCUUAACCCGUUACAGAUGCAUUUUUCUGCAAACAUCUUGACUGCAGGGUGACAGUUUCAAAGCAGAGACAGAGGUAGGAAAGGUGGGUCUCAGUGCAGUGAAAGCCUGUUAUGAGAACAUUAGUCAUCUAAUCCCUAAUUCCUGGGGGGACUGGGUUGGUGCAAGAUCACUUUAGACUUGCCUUGUUUCUCACAAGCUUUCCAUUUGCAUCCACUAACGACCAUUGUAACAGACAGGAUGCUGGGAUAGAUUUAGCUGUGAUCUAAUCUAAUCUGACUCCUGUCAUGUGAUUUGAUAGUGGCUCCAAGACACUGCCUCUCUAGUGAGACAAUUUACAAGGUUUACCCAAUUUGAGUAGUCCCCAUCAGUGGAGUUAGGGAGCUGUGGUGCCUGUAAGUGCUUGACAGAAGGACAGUGACUUUGUUCAUCUGAAGUGGGACUGAGAGGCCUCUCGAGGCAAGUGCCUCAGUGAAGAGCAAGUGCUAUCAUCGUUCCCUUCUUGCUCCCUGAAUUUAAGACACUGAACUGUUAAGAUCAGUUGCCUGAGGUCAGAAUGUUUCUCGGUGCUAUAACAGCAUUCUCUUCUCCUGGGGAAAGUACCGUGUCAGACUAGUUAGUACCUCCUUGCUGCUGGCAAUUUAUUUCUAAUGGCAGGAGCCGGAAUUCCCCUUUUUCCAUAGGAGACAAGAAAGACAGCAGGCUCUGGCUGUUUGUUGGGUUUUCUUGCCUUUUUAAAAUACUGUUUAAUACUUUCUAAAUGUAGUUUUGCUCAUUCAACAGCACAGCUUA